rnacentral:rRNA from 1 species
CGCAAGAUUAAAACUCAAAUGAAUUGACGGGGGCCCGCACAAGCGGUGGAGCAUGUGGUUUAAUUCGAUGCAACGCGAAGAACCUUACCUACUCUUGACAUCCAGAGAACUUAGCAGAGAUGCUUUGGUGCCUUCGGGAACUCUGAGACAGGUGCUGCAUGGCUGUCGUCAGCUCGUGUUGUGAAAUGUUGGGUUAAGUCCCGCAACGAGCGCAACCCUUAUCCUUGUUUGCCAGCGAGUAAUGUCGGGAACUCCAGGGAGACUGCCGGUGAUAAACCGGAGGAAGGUGGGGACGACGUCAAGUCAUCAUGGCCCUUACGAGUAGGGCUACACACGUGCUACAAUGGCGCAUACAGAGGGCGGCCAACUUGCGAAAGUGAGCGAAUCCCAAAAAGUGCGUCGUAGUCCGGAUUGGAGUCUGCAACUCGACUCCAUGAAGUCGGAAUCGCUAGUAAUCGUGAAUCAGAAUGUCACGGUGAAUACGUUCCCGGGCCUUGUACACACCGCCCGUCACACCAUGGGAGUGGGCUGCAAAAGAAGCAGGUAGUUUAACCUUCGGGAGGACGCUUG